UACGUAGGCAGCAAGCGUUGUUCGGAAUUACUGGGCGUAAAGAGUGUGUAGGCGGUUUUCUAAGUUUGGUGUGAAAUCUCCCGGCUUAACUGGGAGGGUGCGCCGAAAACUGGGAGGCUUGAGUGCCGGAGAGGAUAGCGGAAUUCCUGGUGUAGCGGUGAAAUGCGUAGAUAUCAGGAGGAACACCUGCGGUGUAGACGGCUAUCUGGACGGCCACUGACGCUGAGACACGAAAGCGUGGGUAGCAAACAGG
rnacentral:rRNA from 1 species